UCAGACGAUGCGUCAUGCAUAUCAAUAAGCGGAGGAAAAGAAACUAACAAGGAUUUCCCUAGUAACGGCGAGUGAAGCGGGAAGAGCUCAAAUUUGAAAUCUUAAAGGGUUUCCCUUUACGAAUUGUAGUUUAAAGAAGUGUUUUCUGUUGAGGUUUUGGUAAAAGUUCUUUGGAAUAGGACAUCAUAGAGGGUGAGAAUCCCGUAUUUGACCUUUACUUUCAACUUUGUGAUACACUUUCAAAGAGUCGGAUUGUUUGGGAAUGCAGUCCAAAAUGGGUGGUAAAUUUCAUCUAAAGCUAAAUAUUGGCGAGAGACCGAUAGGCGAACAAGUACCGUGAGGGAAAGAUGAAGAGAACUUUGAAAAGAGAGUUAAACAGUACGUGAAAUUGUCAAAAGGGAAGCGUUUGACACCAGUGUUGUUUUUCUGAAAAUCAAUUAAAGAACUGUUUAUGCUAAGCUGUUUAGACUUUAUCAGCUAUCUGUUUAGUUUUGAGCUUUUCUUUAAUGCACUUUUCAGUUAACAAGUCAACAUCAAUUUCUUUUGCUGUAAAAAAGCUUGAGGAAGGUGGCUUGAGAUUCGUCUUAAGUGUUUAUAGCCUCUUGCCUAUGCAGUCGGAGAGAUUGAGGUCUGCAGCGUAGAUCCUUCGGGGCUAAAUGCAUUUGUGCUAAGUUAUAGCAUUUUAUAGACAACUUGUUGACUAUGAUUUGUCUUGUAGCUUACUCGCUUAUGUUAUUUUACCUACGCUUAGGAUGUUGAGCGCAUGUCUCUCUCU
rnacentral:rRNA from 1 species